AAUAACCACCUUUUUUAACUGAUGUGUCAAUUGAGUUGGCGCAUGCUCCCAAUGGCAUUGCACUUAGGCGCCAUACUAGCUGGCGCAUGCAUGUAUGUUUUAGUGUGUGCGCCCAUGCAUCUGAUGCAUGCAUGUGUCUGCUUGUGUCAUGCGUGUGUGGCGCCUAGGACAUUGACACAUGCAUUCAUGGUUUCAUCUAUAAAUAACAUGCGCAUCUCCCAUAUUUUUGCAACCAACUUCUUACCCUUCAACCCCAUUUUCUUUCAUUAUACUUCAAUCCCC
rnacentral:lncRNA from 1 species